rnacentral:tRNA from 1 species
GUUUUUGUAGUUGAAUAACAACGGCGGUUUUUCAAGCCGUUAGUCCUGGUUAGAAUCCUGGCGGAAAUU